GAUGAACGCUAGCGGCAGGCUUAAUACAUGCAAGUCGAACGGGAAUUGGGUAGCAAUACCUGAUGAUAGUGGCGCACGGGUGCGUAACGCGUAUGCAACCUACCUUAACAGGGGAUAGCCCGGAGAAAUUCGGAUUAAUACCCAUAGUAUUAUGGAGAGGGCAUCUUUUCAUGAUUAAAGUUCCGGCGGUUAAAGAUGGGCAUGCGUGCCAUUAGCUAGUUGGUGAGGUAACGGCUCACCAAGGCGACGAUGGUUAGGGGUCCUGAGAGGGUUAUCCCCCACACUGGUACUGAGACACGGACCAGACUCCUACGGGAGGCAGCAGUAAGGAAUAUUGGUCAAUGGGCGGAAGCCUGAACCAGCCAUGCCGCGUGCAGGAAGACGGCCUUAUGGGUUGUAAACUGCUUUUGUCAGGGAAUAAACCCUCGUUUGCGAACGAGGCUGAAGGUACCUGAAGAAUAAGCAUCGGCUAACUCCGUG
rnacentral:rRNA from 1 species